UAAAAGGCUCUUUUCAGAGCCACCUACAGUUUCUGUUAAAAGAGC
rfam:Loxodonta africana unplaced genomic scaffold scaffold_44, whole genome shotgun sequence.